rnacentral:rRNA from 1 species
CAAUAGCGUAUAUUAAAGUUGUUGCAGUUAAAAAGCUCGUAGUUGGAUUUGUGGUGUACUUCGGCGGCCCGUCACUAUGUGAUGGAGCUUGCUGAAGUCGCCAUCCUUGGGUGGAUCCUGUGUGGCAUUAAGUUGUCGUGCAGGGGAUGCCCAUCGUUUACUGUGAAAAAAUUAGAGUGUUCAAAGCAGGCUUAUGCCGUUGAAUAUAUUAGCAUGGAAUAAUAAGAUAGGACCUUGGUACUAUUUUGUUGGUUUGCGCACCAAGGUAAUGAUUAAUAGGGACAGUUGGGGGUAUUCGUAUUUCAUUGUCAGAGGUGAAAUUCUUGGAUUUAUGAAAGACGAACUUAUGCGAAAGCAUUUGCCAAGGAUGUUUUCAUUAA